rnacentral:rRNA from 1 species
UAUGGUAAUUGUGUGCCGCCGCGGUAAUACGUAGGUCCCGAGCGUUGUCCGGAUUUAUUGGGCGUAAAGCGAGCGCAGGCGGUUUGAUAAGUCUGAAGUUAAAGGCUGUGGCUCAACCAUAGUUCGCUUUGGAAACUGUCAAACUUGAGUGCAGAAGGGGAGAGUGGAAUUCCAUGUGUAGCGGUGAAAUGCGUAGAUAUAUGGAGGAACACCGGUGGCGAAAGCGGCUCUCUGGUCUGUAACUGACGCUGAGGCUCGAAAGCGUGGGGAGCGAACAGG